rnacentral:rRNA from 1 species
CCUACGGGAGGCAGCAGUGAGGAAUAUUGGACAAUGGGCGCAAGCCUGAUCCAGCCAUGCCGCGUGCAGGAAGACGGUCCUAUGGAUUGUAAACUGCUUUUGUACAGGAAGAAACACUCCCUCGUGAGGGAGCUUGACGGUACUGUAAGAAUAAGGAUCGGCUAACUCCGUG